rnacentral:rRNA from 1 species
CAGUCGCCGCGGUAAUACGAAGGGUGCGAGCGUUAAUCGGAAUUACUGGGCGUAAAGCGUGCGUAGGCGGUUUGUUAAGUCUGUUGUGAAAUCCCCGGGCUCAACCUGGGAAUGGCAAUGGAUACUGGCAAGCUAGAGUGUGUCGGAGGAUGGUGGAAUUCCCGGUGUAGCGGUGAAAUGCGUAGAGAUCGGGAGGAACAUCAGUGGCGAAGGCGGCCAUCUGGGACAACACUGACGCUGAGGCACGAAAGCGUGGGGAGCAAACAGGAUUAGAUACCCCGGUAGUCCCUGUCUCUUAUAC